rnacentral:lncRNA from 1 species
UUUUGGUGCUUCGUGUCAGACGCAUCGGUAUGAUUCACCAAGAAGUGGGUCCUGUGUCAUUUUCUGAGAAAUUUUAAGAUGUUUGGGCGUUUCUCCAAAAGUAAUGAGAAAAUACUUUGCAAAGGUUGAAUCUACACGUCUGAAUACUUUCAGUUCUGCCCUGUUACUAAGUACUAGUGCCGCAGGAGUACAUUUGAUCUCCUGCUGCUCAAGUGCUUAUCAAUGGGAACAGAUAAUCCACUGCAGGCGGUGAGCAUGAAGGAAAGGAAAUUUAUAUACAAAAUUUAAGUGAUCCAGGAGCCAGGAGCUGAAAAUAAACGAUCAUGAUAUUGACGUGUAUUCACUGAUACCAAUAUAAUUUCUUUAGAUUUCGUUUAUUCUUA